GUCGCUUUGGUGGAGUGGUUAACACGGUAGCCUGCUAAGCUGCUGUCCUUUGGACGCGCAGGUUCGAAUCCUGCAGGCGACG
rfam:Parasitella parasitica strain CBS 412.66 genome assembly, contig: contig_21595